CUUAGCUGCGGUUGGAGCAGUAUCAGUCCAACUUUAUUAGUAGGGGUUGAUCGGGUCGAGUCCACUUUGAUUGGCAACUUUAUUUUGGUGGGAGUGGGGGUCGGCAACGGUUAUAAUAACUACAUCGUCUUUUUGGUGGGAUGAUGCAGCGACUGUAAAACGGUCUGUUGCAAAUUGGAGGCCUGUGUAAUGGCCUAUAACCUAUGGGUCCACGGCCUACAGCUUUAGGAGCAGAGUUAGUAGGAGAACUUGUACCAGUUGCCUUGGGAGCACGACCUGG
rnacentral:lncRNA from 1 species